rnacentral:piRNA from 1 species
UUCUGAAAACAUAAAAAAGUCUUUAGG